rnacentral:rRNA from 4 species
UUCGUAUUGUUGUGAGAGAGGUGAAAUUCUUAGACCACAGCAAGACGAACUACUGCGAAAGCAUUUGCCAAGAAUGUUUUCAUUGAUCAAGAACGAAAGUUAGAGGUUCGAAGGCGAUCAGAUACCGCCCUAGUUCUAACCAUAAACUAUGCCAACUAGCAAUCUGCUUAUAUAUGUUCUAUGAUUAAGUAGGCGGCCACGGGAAACCAAAGUAGGGUUAUGGGGGAAGUAUGGUUGCAAAGCUGAAACUUAAAGGAAUUGACGGAAGGGCACCACCAGGAGUGGAGCCUGCGGCUUAAUUUGACUCAACACGGGAAAACUUACCUGGUCCUGACACUAGAAGGAUUGACAGAUUGAUAGCUCUUUCUUGAUUUGGUGGAUGGUGGUGCAUGGCCGUUCUUAGUUGGUGGAGUGAUUUGUCUGGUUAAUUCCGAUAACGAACGAGACUCUAGCCUAUUAAAUAACACACAGAAUCUUGUCUUCUGUGGCGUUUCUUAAUGGGAUCAAGUGUGUUUAACGCUU